rnacentral:rRNA from 1 species
AGAGUUUGAUCCUGGCUCAGAACGAACGCUGGCGGCGUGCCUAACACAUGCAAGUCGAACGAGAAAGUCUCCUUCGGGAGAUGAGUAAAGUGGCGCACGGGUGAGUAACACGUGGGUAACCUACCUUUUGGUUCGGGACAACACUUCGAAAGGGGUGCUAAUACCGGAUAAGACCACGCCCUCUUCGGGGGGUGGGGUAAAAGAUGGCCUCUCCUUGGAAGCUAUUGCCGAUUGAUGGGCCCGCGUCCCAUCAGCCUGUUGGUGAGGUAACGGCUCACCAAAGCUAAGACGGGUAGCUGGUCUGAGAGGAUGUCCAGCCACACUGGAACUGAGACACGGUCCAGACUCCUACGGGAGGCAGCAGUGGGGAAUAUUGCGCAAUGG